AACAUGCUCUCCACUCCAUGCAGUCUUAGCCCGAGACCGCUCCGCUGGGCACCCGAUGAGCAAUUUCACACAAAAGAAUGGAGAGAGUGCCUUCAAGCAAGAGUGUUCCUUAGUUUAUGUGCUCUCUGGAAGUCACGGUAGAGGCUAGACAGGUGGAUUGGGAUUCGAACAGUGCCUCUGUUCUAGGGUGCGUCGCCCCGGUUAACGGGCCAAUUAGCUUUGGCGCUUAAUGCUUUAUUAGCGUCACCUGUCUUCUCGUCAUCUUUAUAAUCUACAGUUUCCGAAGAUGCAUUUCUCUCGUUCUCUAUCUGUCCAGGACCAGUCUGACGUGCAGCAUCUUCGGUAAAGUUUGUAAAAAUGCACAAACAGGAAAAACCACUGUCGAUGUUAUGGGGUUGUGAACUCAGUGAGUCAAAGAUGGAGGAAACGUUCAAAACGGAUGACACAAACUACCAACAUCAACUCGCCCUGAGAACCAUGUGUCUGGGCGCAGGCGCCAAAGGAGAGUUCAACAUUGUGGAGUUGAUUACUGGAGAACCGGAUAACGGUAAAGGUAUAACUGUGGCGACCCUGCAUGCCAGCGGCAUGCCCAUGGUCAAUCUCUCUGGGCUUGAACUCCACCCUCCUGUCACCUUCAGGCUGACGAGUGGUGCUGGCCCUGUGUACAUCUGUGGGGAACACAUUGCCCUGGAGGAUGACUUCUCAGGCAUCGAGAGUGGUGAUGAGGAGAUGGAGGAUGAGGAGGAAGACAUUGAGGAGUCUCCUGUGAAGCCGAAGAAAGCACUAGCCAAGAGCGGAAACACUGCAGAAAAGGCUAAUGUUGUUCCCCCGUCUCCAGAAAAAAAAGCCAGAGGCGGCAGAUGAACCUGUGUCAGAUGAUGAGAACCCUCCCCAAAAGGGAAAGGGGAGAGGAAAAGGCAGGGGAAAGUAAUCCCAGGUGCUGCUGCUCAUCCACGUGUCCUGUUUGGUCAAAGGUUCUGUCAAUCAAUUUAGGUGUCUCUACCUGUUCAGUACGUGUAUUAAACCAAGUAUGUUUGUCCUGUACUUGUUGUUGGUGCUUUGUAAGUAAAUCGUUUGGAAGAAAUG